AUUGAACGCUGGCGGAAUGCUUUACACAUGCAAGUCGAACGGCAGCACGGGGCAACCUGGUGGCGAGUGGCGAACGGGUGAGUAAUACAUCGGAACGUGCCCAAUCGUGGGGGAUAACGUAGCGAAAGUUACGCUAAUACCGCAUACGAUCUACGGAUGAAAGCGGGGGAUCGCAAGACCUCGCGCGAGUGGAGCGGCCGAUGUCAGAUUAGGUAGUUGGUGGGGUAAAAGCUCACCAAGCCUGCGAUCUGUAGCUGGUCUGAGAGGACGACCAGCCACACUGGAACUGAGACACGGUCCAGACUCCUACGGGAGGCAGCAGUGGGGAAUUUUGGACAAUGGACGAAAGUCUGAUCCAGCAAUGCCGCGUGCAGGACGAAGGCCUCGGUUGUAACUGCUUUGUACAGAACGAAAAGUACUUAAUAACACUAGAGGCUCAUGACGGUACUGUAAGAAUAAGCACCGGCUAACUACGUGCCAGCAGCCGC
rnacentral:rRNA from 1 species